CCUGGGGGGCCUAUACAUGCAAGUCGAACGCACUCUCGUUUAGAUUGAAGGAGCUUGCUCCUGAUUGAUAAACAUUUGAGUGAGUGGCGGACGGGUGAGUAACACGUGGGUAACCUGCCCUAAAGUGGGGGAUAACAUUUGGAAACAGAUGCUAAUACCGCAUAAAACCUAACACCGCAUGGUGUAGGGUUGAAAGAUGGUUUCGGCUAUCACUUUAGGAUGGACCCGCGGUGCAUUAGUUAGUUGGUGAGGUAAAGGCUCACCAAGACCGUGAUGCAUAGCCGACCUGAGAGGGUAAUCGGCCACACUGGGACUGAGACACGGCCCAGACUCCUACGGGAGGCAGCAGUAGGGAAUCUUCCACAAUGGACGAAAGUCUGAUGGAGCAACGCCGCGUGAGUGAAGAAGGUUUUCGGAUCGUAAAACUCUGUUGUUGGAGAAGAAUGUAUCUGAUAGUAACUGAUCAGGUAGUGACGGUAUCCAACCAGAAAGCCACGGCUAACUACGUGCCAGCAGCCGCGGUAAUACGUAGGUGGCAAGCGUUGUCCGGAUUUAUUGGGCGUAAAGCGAGCGCAGGCGGUUUCUUAAGUCUGAUGUGAAAGCCUUCGGCUCAACCGAAGAAGUGCAUCGGAAACUGGGAAACUUGAGUGCAGAAGAGGACAGUGGAACUCCAUGUGUAGCGGUGAAAUGCGUAGAUAUAUGGAAGAACACCAGUGGCGAAGGCGGCUGUCUGGUCUGUAACUGACGCUGAGGCUCGAAAGCAUGGGUAGCAAACAGGAUUAGAUACCCUGGUAGUCCAUGCCGUAAACGAUGAGUGCUAGGUGUUGGAGGGUUUCCGCCCUUCAGUGCCGCAGCUAACGCAUUAAGCACUCCGCCUGGGGAGUACGACCGCAAGGUUGAAACUCAAAGGAAUUGACGGGGGCCCGCACAAGCGGUGGAGCAUGUGGUUUAAUUCGAAGCAACGCGAAGAACCUUACCAGGUCUUGACAUCCUUUGACCACUCUAGAGAUAGAGCUUUCCCUUCGGGGACAAAGUGACAGGUGGUGCAUGGUUGUCGUCAG
rnacentral:rRNA from 1 species